GCCGGGUGCGGUGGUGCAUGCCUGUAAUGUCAGUGCUUGGGAGGCUGAGACAGGAGGAUCAUGAGUUCAAAGACGGCCUCAGUAAAAGUGAGGUGCUAAGAAACUCAGUGAGACCUUGUCUCUA
rnacentral:sRNA from 1 species